rnacentral:lncRNA from 1 species
UGUUGACCUUCUUCGAGCUUGCUAACUCUCAAUCCCUCCAAUGAUUCUUGCUAGUUCUUGAGGAAAAAGAGAGAGGAGAUCUAGAUCCACAUUUUCACCAAUCACUUUCCCCUUUAAGUGAGGGGAACCCCUUGGGUCUAGAUCUUGGAGUUCUUCGUGUUCUUCUUCGUUCUUCCUCUCAUUUUCCUCCCUAGCAUUAGUUGCUUUGGUGGGAUUUGGGAGAGAAGGACUUGGG